UACGUAGGGCGCAAGCGUUGUCCGGAAUUAUUGGGCGUAAAGAGCUCGUAGGCGGUCUGUUACGUCUGCUGUGAAAACCCGGGGCUUAACCCCGGGCUUGCAGUGGAUACGGGCAGACUAGAGGCAGGUAGGGGAGAAUGGAAUUCCCGGUGUAGCGGUGAAAUGCGCAGAUAUCAGGAAGAACACCUAUGGCGAAGGCAGCUCUCUGGGACGGUACUGACGCUGAGACGCGAAAGCGUGGGGAGCGAACAGG
rnacentral:rRNA from 1 species